CCUGCGUCCAGCAGUGACCUCGGGGAUCUGGGGCUGAGCGAGUGGGGGUUCAGAGCCUGCUCGCCCCAGCGUCCUCCAGGGGGUUGGCAGCGCCGCCAGAAGCCCCGGGCCUGGGCAGCUGGGGCGCCGUUCCCCACCCGGCGCGGACUUCGGAACCGGCGCGGGGACUGACUGGCUCUGCCACUCGCGCGCGUCUCCGCCGGACCCGGAACCCCCGUCGGUCCAUUCCCCGCGAGGAUGCGCGCCCUGGCGGCCCUGAACGCGCCCCCGAACGAGCGGCUCCUUCCCCGGGACCCCGCGGCUCCCCGGGACCCCGACGCCGCGCGGCCGGCGCGCAGGAGCGCAGUGGAGAGGCUGGCGGCCGACCGCGCCAAGUACGUGCGGGGUCGGCCGGGGACUGGCCGGGGCGUCGCUUCCGAGGGCAGCGGCCCGGGGGCGAUCAAGUGCCCGGGGAACGACCCUGGGCCCCCGGCCCGCGCCCCCGCCCCGGUGGCGCGCAGGGCUAUUGCGCGGAAGCCGUUGAGACCGGACUCGCUGAUCAUCUACCGGCAGAAAUGCGAGUUCGUGCGAGGACCGGGCGCCGACGGCCCCAGGGCGAGCCUGGUGAAGAAGCUCUUCCAGGGGCCGGGUAAGGACAAGGCGCCGGUGCCCCGGACGGGAGACGAGGGCAAGGCCGGGAACCCGGAGACCGUCCCGACCACUCCCGGCCCCGCAGCGGACCCCGCACCCCCCGAGACCCCAGCCCCGGCCACGCGGUCCGCUGCGCCCUCCCGUGCCCCGGCCGCGCCCCCUGGCCCAGAGCCGCGGGUGCUGAGGCGUCGGGGGCUGCAGCGCUCACAGUCGGACCUCAGCUCCCGCUACUCCGCUGCCUUGGCCGAGUCUGACACGUUCUUCCAGUACUGCGGCCUGGACCCCGAGGUGGUGGAGGCCCUAGGGAGGGAGAACUUCACCGCGGGGUCGGACUGUGUGACCCUCAAGGUGCGCAGCGUGAGCGUCGCCACCUCCGGCAGCGGCUUCUCCCGGCACAGCGGCGGCGACGACGACGGGCUGCAGGAGGAGGAGCUGAUGGAGCAGGUGCCCAGCACCACUUCGGUCAUCGAGAGGAACGCCCGCAUCAUCAAGUGGCUGUACACCUGUAAGAAGGCCAAGGAGACCCCCAGCCAGGAGCAGAGCCGGACCCGAGCCCCUUCACAGUUCCCCACCUCCCAGCACUGGUGUUUCCAGUGGAGGAGACCAGCAGGGAAAGCCAGGACAGAGUGUGAACACCUGGUCAGUGGGGCGGUCCUCUGACUUCCUGCAGAAGUCCCUUGUUCUGAGACCAGUUCUGCAACUUCUGGAAGAUGUGGAAGCAGGAAUUUAAGCUGUACUUUUUCUGCUGAAGUUUAUAAGGAUUCAUUUUAGGAUUUCUUGAAAGAUUCAGAAAACUUGAGAUGAACAAAGGAAGCAAACUUUCCCGAUGAUGAAGACUUCUUGAAGGAUUUCAUGGGUGACUUGGGAUCCCAGGACCAUUUGGCCAGUGUGCCUAGGUGACCACAUAAUUGCUGUUUUACCAGGAAUACAGCAUCCCAUUGACAAAGCUUAAGUGCUCUGAGAAGGUUUAAAAUACUACAGAGAAUAUGGGAACACAGACCUUGAAAUUUAGCUGAGUUGUAACAGCUGAAGCUCUAAGAGGUGUUUUCCUUGUUUGAGGUGAAACUAGUGUUGCUUCCAGAGGGCAGCUGGGAACCGUAAAGCUGUUUGGAAAUCUUUUUGACUGACUUGCUGACAGAGAGGUACUGUGAUGCAUUUUAACAAUAUCUAAGUUGAUUUUUUUUUAAAUCAAGGAAAAUAAAAACCAAGCAUGAAUGCUAUGGUAUGUGCCCCUUUUGACCAUCCUGGGCUGAUUAGCAUCAUUUAAAUCAAAGUAAUCAUAAAAAGGCAUAUUCUACUUCAAUUCUGUGGUCAAAAAAGAGUGAACACACACUCAGACAUGCUGACCCCAAUUGCCAGAGCAUUACUGCACUAUAAAUUACGGUUAAUUCCCAAACUAUACUACUGUUUAUCUUAUUUAACAAGUCAGAAAGCACUUUUAAAAUAACUUGAGGGCUACAAGGUCAUUCUAUUAAUGUCAUUCUCCAUUUGGGUUGUAGGCAUGUGGAAGUAUCCAUUAAAAGAUAAGUUAGAGUUUAAAUACUGAUAAACAAAACCUUUUAUUGCAACUGGACAGUUUCUGGAGAGUUGGCGGAAGAAUCUUGGAGUUUUCUUUGCUCAGAUGAAUACAACAUUUCACUUUUGCAGCACUAUUUAGAAUGUACUCCAUAGUUCUCUUGUUCCCAACUUCCAAAAAGAACAGAAAACUUUGGUUUACGCAGAACACAGGCAUCUGAGGCAGGACCUCUUCCCUGCCCUUUGAUCUGACUCACACCUCCACAUAUGACGUAAUCAACCCAUAUUUGACACCAAUUCACUCUUUUCUGCAAAAGGCAUAUUUUGAAACAAGGGACAGCCUGAGGGUGGCUGUAAUGAGAAUGUUCAUGGGGGUUACUGGGUCCCUAAUUCUGAACUUGCUUAUGACACCCAGAGUAAAUAGAUUCAGAUUCAGAACCUUCUGAGAAAUAACCCAAAGAAAAUUUGUUACCCAGCAAAUUCUUUGAAAGCUUACUAUCAAAAUAUAUCUUUUCAAGAAGAAAAUCAUUAGAGAGAAGAAUGUGGAGGGGAGAGAAAUUGGUUUCUCAUUGAUAUGAUAUUUUGUUAACCAUUUCAUUUUGAAUUAUUCAAGUCUUGGUUAAUAUUGUAUUCUAUUUUCGUCACUAUUUUACCGUGAGAGUAGGUCAUUGGGUUACUUAGAUAUUUAUUUUUACACAGUUAUUAGUCUUCAGAUAGUUUUACUUUACUUCACAUGGUUUUAGUUUUUGUCGGUAUAAUUUUAAAUCAUGUUUUUUUGGUCAUCUCUUUGUGUAAUUGGAUUUUCAUUGACUGCAAGUGGAGUGUUUGCCGCUCAAUUCUGUACUCAGUACUAUGGUGACUUGUUUUCGAAUAAGUCUCAGAUACACAUUUAGGGAGACUUUGCUGGCUGAAUAUAGACUCUGUCAGGACAGCAGGUCCCCUGAUCUAAGAAUUUUCCCCAAUGGUUGCUCUAAAAAUGCUGCUAUUAUGCUAUUCACUGUAUUGCACUUAGUUAAAAAAAAGAUAAUGUCAAAGAUAAGAGCAGUUUUUUAAAGGAUCUUUUCAUAUACCCAAUUCCCUUAUUUUCAGAUGUCCCAUCAAUUUUAGAUAUGAAAGCUUUAAGUAGAAGUGUGUAUGCCUUUCUACUGUCAGAACAGGGUGGAUGCAGCCUGGGACACAUUUAUUUAAUAUAAAAAUCGUGCAGACUCAUCAUUCAUAUCAUAGGUGAAAAAUAUGAAAACAAAAUGGUUUCCAUAAAGCCACCAAGAUCUUUUAGAAAUGUUUGCACCUUUGGUGGUGGCACAGGAAAAGAGAAGAAUUCAGUUGGAGUGAAUUCUAGAAGUAGAUAUCAGAAACGGGGCAUGAGGAACAGGGGAACUGGGUGGCAUCAGACUCCUAAAGAAGUGAGUUAAUUUUCCUUCCCUUCUAUUCAGAUUCAUGCCACGGCUCCAUAUCUUGAGUAUGUGUAAGAGGUGAGUUCUUUCUUCAGCCAGGGGCGGUGGCUCAUGCCUUUAAUCCCAAUGCUUUAGGAGGCCAAGGUGGGAGGAUCACUUGUGCCCUGGGGUUCAAGGCUGCAGUGAACCAUGAUUGCACCACUGCACUCCAGCCUGAGUGACAAAGCAAGACCCUGUCUCUAAAAAUACAUAUAAAAAGUAAAACUAAAGAACUUCUUGCCUAAACCUGAAUUACCCCAAUUUGCUGAGUGACUUUGAGAAAAAUCAGACUGUUUAGUUCAGUCUGGAUGAAAAGCUUGCAAUUGCUUCCCACAAGAAUGGGCAAUAGUGACAGCUGCAAGGUACUUUUAUUUGUUCAUGAAAGAAUGACAAUUUUUUAAAAUGUAAUUAAACAUAAUGGAAUGUUUUAAACUACUGGGCACUGAAACUGGAACAAAAAGGAGGCUUUAUUGAACAUUGCCCUUUUUCAGUUGGUUCAAAGUUCAGCACUGUGGUUAUCAUUGGUGAUGCCAGAAAACAUUAGUAGACUUAGACAAUUGCUAUGGCAGUUUCUAAACAGAGCUUUUUCUAUACACUAUUUGCAACUGGAGUGCAAUAUUGUAUAUUCUGUA